rnacentral:rRNA from 1 species
AGAGUUUGAUCAUGGCUCAGAGCGAACGCUGGCGGCAGGCCUAACACAUGCAAGUCGAACGCCCGUAGCAAUACGGGAGUGGCAGACGGGUGAGUAACGCGUGGGAACGUGCCCUUCGGUUCGGAAUAACCCAGGGAAACUUGGGCUAAUACCGGAUACGUCCGUAAGGAGAAAGAUUUAUCGCCGAAGGAUCGGCCCGCGUCCGAUUAGCUAGUUGGUGAGGUAACGGCUCACCAAGGCGACGAUCGGUAGCUGGUCUGAGAGGAUGAUCAGCCACACUGGGACUGAGACACGGCCCAGACUCCUACGGGAGGCAGCAGUGGGGAAUAUUGGACAAUGGGCGCAAGCCUGAUCCAGCCAUGCCGCGUGGGUGAUGAAGGCCCUAGGGUUGUAAAGCCCUUUCGGCGGGGAAGAUAAUGACGGUACCCGCAGAAGAAGCCCCGGCUAACUUCGUGCCAGCAGCCGCGGUAAUAC